rnacentral:piRNA from 1 species
UGAAUUUGGGAACUGGGGUCAUGAGU